UACGUAGGUGACAAGCGUUAUCCGGAAUUACUGGGCGUAAAGCGCACGCAGGCGGCGCAUUAAGUCUGACGUGAAAUCUCCUGGCUUAACUGGGAGGGGUCGUUGGAGACUGAUGGGCUUGAGGCGAUGAGAGGGGUGUAGAAUUCCCGGUGUAGUGGUGGAAUGCGUAGAUAUCGGGAGGAAUACCAGUGGCGAAAGCGGCACCCUGGCAUGAGCCUGACGCUCAGGUGCGAAGGCGUGGGGAGCGAACGGG
rnacentral:rRNA from 1 species